rnacentral:rRNA from 1 species
GUGGGGAAUUUUGGACAAUGGGGGCAACCCUGAUCCAGCCAUGCCGCGUGAGUGAAGAAGGCCUUCGGGUUGUAAAGCUCUUUCGGCCGGGAAGAAAUCGCGCCAGCUAAUACCUGGUGUGGAUGACGGUACCGGAAGAAGAAGCACCGGCUAACUACGUGCCAGCAGCCGCGGUAAUACGUAGGGUGCGAGCGUUAAUCGGAAUUACUGGGCGUAAAGCGUGCGCAGGCGGCUCUAUAAGACAGAUGUGAAAUCCCCGGGCUUAACCUGGGAACUGCGUUUGUGACUGUAGGGCUUGAGUGCGGCAGAGGGGGGUGGAAUUCCACGUGUAGCAGUGAAAUGCGUAGAGAUGUGGAGGAACACCGAUGGCGAAGGCAGCCCCCUGGGUCGACACUGACGCUCAUGCACGAAAGCGUGGGGAGCAAACAGGAUUAGAUACCCUGGUAGUCC